AGGGGGAGAAGAAGAGCAUGCACGCCAUGCCGGGCUUCGUGUGGCUCAUCAAGUGCAUCCAUGAGAUGCAGGAUCGCCAGAGACACUAUGGCUAAGCUAGAGGUGGAACACCUGAAGCUGACCUAUUGUAACAUAGGCCCUGUGGAGUGUACUGCACUGGCCUACUUGCUCCAGCACCUUAGGAACCCUGUGGGGCUUCAGCUAGACUACAACUACGUAGGAGACGUUGGGGUGGAGCAGCUGCUGCCUUGCCUGCAUGUCUGCCACUCUGUAUAGUAUGUUUGGAAAGCUUUACCAUGCUAUUUACUAUGGCACUCACUAUGGGAUUAUUUUAGCAUAAACAUGUUACCUUGUGCCAGUAACAUAACACACAGGACACUAAACUAAGGCCUAAUAAUACGAUUAUUUUUUAUUUCACUCCCUCAGCCUGAGACACAAUAACAUAUCAGAUGAGGGAAUCUGUAAAUUGAUUGAAAAAGGCAUCCAGUGUGAGUGCUUCAGAAGAUUGUGCUCUUCAACAACAAGCUAACUGAUGCCUGAUGCCCACAGAGUGCUUCGCUCACCUCCUGAAGAUAAAGCAGAAUUUUCUCUCUCUAAAGUGAGGAUAUUUUUCAACUCUCAACAUAUAAGAUACUGUACAUUGUUACCUCACAUAGCAAUAGCUAAUACCAUAUUCAAUCGAACAUUUUCUCUGACUUUGCAUUGCAGGCUGGGAAACAAUAACAUCGCAGCAGCAGGGGCAGGGCAACUGGCGGAGGGACUGAGGUUCAAUUGGUCACUACAGGCUUUGGGGAAAUAAAAUAGGUGAUAAAGGUGCAGAGGCCAUUGCUAAUGCUCUAAAGGAUGGCCAAACCUUGGUGUGGCUCAGGUAAUGUUAGACUAAUGAUAGGUUGAAACAUGAACAUUACUAACACAUCCAUACUAUCAUGGGCAACUAUAUUUCCAGACAGCCCUGUUAUCGUUAAAAUACUUAAACAUAGGAAUACAUCUUACUGUCAGAUGUAUGUUUCAUGGCAGCCUGGUAGACAAUGGUGUUCGCAGUGCAGGAGCAUGUGCUCUUGCCCCACUCAUCAAGAACAGUACGCUUGAGGAGCUGUGGUGAGUAUAUUGAUAGCACAUCCUGAAUACUGAAAAAGACUUUGCAGCUACCCACAUUCCGUUUUGCCUCAACUGACAUUUUGAUAGUUGUGGUUGUGCUAUACAUUUGUGGUUGCGCUAAACACAUCUUUCACUCUGCUCUCUCAUGCCCUCCACAGGUUAACCAAAAACUGCAUCACAAGAACAGGUGUGGAGUGUCUAAUACUGGCUCUUGAAAGCAACACUAGUGUGAAGGCAGUGUGGUAUGUUAACAUUAUGCUUUGAUCAUUUAGACAGUUAUAUACUGGCUGAGAAAUGUAAUUUACAAAGUGUUAUGUCCUAUACAUACAGUACAGUAUGCUGUAGUCUCCUAUGCCUCCCCCAUACCUCCCCAUACAUGUGAAGAUUGGAUCUCAAAUCACUUAAGAAGGUCUCUAAUCCAAAGACUGUAAAUUAGAGUUAAGUGAAUCAUUGUUUUCUCUCUAGGUUGAGGUAAUGAGCUCAGCCCAGAAGAGGUGGAGGAGAUGACACAGCGGGAACCUAGGCUUACAUUCUGAUGAUGCCAAGUGCGGGUCAACUAUACUGGAGUAUUAUUGUUUACAGCCAUGUGUAUGUCUGUUUGUAAUUCUUGCAACUUCUUUAGUAGCAUUUCCCGUAAAAUGGUAGUUGUGUUAUUUAUAGGUUAUUAUGUUUUUACGUACAUUAUGGAUCAUGUUGGAUGUGAUGUUCUCAAUGAUGUAAACAGUGUGGGCAAGCUUGUUUUAUCCAUUCACAAUAAGUAGCUACUUCUGACCUGCUCUGCUACUACAGGCAGACACCAUGCUGUAUGCUAAGGAACUGGUCUGACACUUGUUUUAUGUAAGCACCAUUGUGUGUGACCCUAUUGUUUCUGGCUAAUUAUCAAAUAACAGUCAGGUAUUUGAACUGGUACAUCAGUAUUCUUAUGUACCCUACCCUAUUGUACACUGACUGGUAGUGCCAGUAUGUUUGAUAACACGGGUUGAUUCAGCGGUGACAUGACUCAGUGAAUCACUAACAGUGAUUACAUUAGUCCUAUUGUGUCAGUGCUCUAUGGUGGGGAUAGAAUGACUUGUUACGUUACGUCACCUUGCCUACAGAGAAAUGUUAAUGUAGGCUAUUACAUUUUAAAGAUGCACUAUUUACAUUUACGUCAUUUAGCAGACGCUCUUAUCUAGAGCGACUUACAAAUUGGUGCAUUCACCUAUGAUAUCCAGUGGAACAACCACUUUACAAUAGUACAUCUAUAUCUUUUUUUGGGGGGGGGGGGUUAGAAGGAUUACUUAAUCCUAUCCCAGGUAUUCCUUAAAGAGGUGGGGUUUCAGGAGUCUCCGGAAGGUGGUGAUUGACUCCGCUGUCCUGGCGUCGUGAGGGAGCUUGUUCCACCAUUGGGGUGCCAGAGCAGCGAACAGUUUUGACUGGGCUGAGCGGGAACUGUGCUUCCGCAGAGGUAGGGAGGCCAGCAGGCCAGAGGUGGAUGAACGCAGUGCCCUUCUUUGGGUGUAGGGACUGAUCAGAGCCUGAAGGUACGGAGGGGCCGUUCCCCUCACAGCUCCGUAGGCAAGCACCAUGGUCUUGUAGCAGAUGCGAGCUUCAACUGGAAGCCAGUGGAGCUUGCGGAGGAGCGGGUUGAUGUGAGAGAACUUGAACACCAGACGGGCUGCGGCGUUCUGGAUGAGUUGUAGGGGUUUAAUGGCGCAGGCAGGGAGCCCCGCCAACAGCGAGUUGCAGUAAUCCAGACAGGAGAUGACAAGUGCCUGGAUUAGGACCUGCGCCACUUCCUGUGUGAGGCAGGGUCGUACUCUGUGAAUGUUGUAGAGCAUGAACCUACAGGAUCGGGUCACCACCUUGAUGUUAGUGGAGAACGACAGGGUGUUGUCCAGGGUCACGCCAAGGCUCUUAGCACUCUGGGAGGAGGACACAAUGGAGUUGUCAACCGUGAUGGCGAGAUCAUGGAACGGGCAGUCCUUCCCCGGGAGGAAGAGCAGCUCCGUCUUGCCGAGGUUCAGCUUGAGAUGGUGAUCCGUCAUCCACACUGAUAUGUCUGCCAGACAUGCAGAGAUGCGAUUUGCCACCUGGUUAUCAGAAGGGGGAAAGGAGAAGAUUAGUUGUGUGUCGUCUGCGUAACAAUGAUAGGAGACCAUAUGAGGAUAUGACAGAGCCAAGUGACUUGGUGUAUAGCGAGAAUAGGAGAGGGCCUAGAACUGAGCCCUGGGGGACACCAGUGGUGAGAGCACGUGGUGCGGAGACGGAUUCUCGCCACGCCACCUGGUAGGAGCAACCUGUCAGGUAGGACACUAUGCAGAUAUCUCUCUGCCAUUUGCUGGUUGCUAAAAUUCUAAUAGUUUGCUUAAUUUCAGCUUUUGUGGCAACAAGCAAGUAUAGUGUAGAGAAUCCCAAAAAGUUACAUACUGCAGCUUUAAUUUAAAGUAAAACAGUAAUUCAGUGUACAAUAAUGAAAUCUAAUUUCUCCAAAAUAUAAUAUGAAGAAUUCACAUGCUGCUUUUAUCAAUAUUUGCACAUCCUUCUGUAUUCAUAACAAGUAACUUGCAUGUCAACACACACACAUGCCUGGUUUGAAUGACAAUCUGUGUACACUGUACAAGUCACAGUAUAGUCGAUCCCAGACCUGUCAACAGCACUGUUAAUGUGGGAGGCAAUCAAUUAUGAAUAUAAACCCUGGACUGCUGAUGGUUUGUAUUGGCCAUCGUAUUGGCACUCCCCAGUAGGAGCAGUCCUUCAUAGGAAUGGGGAAUUCUACAGUAUUUAAAUUAAACUUUUCAAGGACAAAAUUACAUAUAUUUAAGUAUUUUGUUGUUGUAGUGGUGACAGUAUAAUUAAGGUGAUACUUUAACGAAAAUGUUUUUAUAUAUUUUUUUAAUUUUGUGUUUAGCUCACAAUAUAAUUUAAAUGUAUGUAUGAAGGUGAUUGUAAUAGAAUAAAUUUGGCAA
rnacentral:lncRNA from 1 species